rnacentral:rRNA from 1 species
AGAGUUUGAUCCUGGCUCAGAACGAACGCUGGCGGCGCGUCUUAAGCAUGCAAGUCGAACGGCAAGAGAGAAGCUUGCUUCUCUCCUAGAGUGGCGGACUGGUGAGGAACACGUGGGUAAUCUACCCUUAAGAUGGGGAUAGCUGCUAGAAAUAGCAGGUAAUACCGAAUAGUCUCGAUACUUCAUAAGAGAUAUUGAGGAAAGGAAGCUACGGCUUCGCUUGAGGAUGAGCUUGCGUCCCAUUAGCUAGUUGGUGAGGUAACGGCUCACCAAGGCGACGAUGGGUAUCCGGCCUGAGAGGGUGAACGGACACAUUGGGACUGAGAUACGGCCCAAACUCCUACGGGAGGCAGCAGCUAAGAAUAUUCCGCAAUGGACGGAAGUCUGACGGAGCGACGCCGCGUGGAUGAAGAAGGCUGAAAAGUUGUAAAAUCCUUUUGUUGAUGAAGAAUAAGGGGGAGAGGGAAUGCUUCUCUGAUGACGGUAAUCAGCGAAUAAGCCCCGGCUAAUUACGUGCCAGCAGCCGCGGUAACACGUAAGGUGCGAGCGUUGUUCGGAAUUAUUGGGCGUAAAGGGCAUGCAGGCGGGUCGCCAAGCUUGGUAAGAAAUACCGGGGCUCAACUCCGGAGCUAUAUUGAGAACUGGCGAGCUAGAGUUGCCGAAGGGUAUCCGGAAUUCCGUGUGAAGGGGUGAAAUCUGUAGAUAUGCGGAAGAACACCGAUGGCGAAGGCAGGAUACCGGCGGACGACUGACGCUGAGGUGCGAAGGUGCGGGGAGCAAACAGGAUUAGAUACCCUGGUAGUCCGCACAGUCAACGAUGUACACUGGGCGUGUGCGCAAGAGCGUGCGUGCCGAAGCAAACGCGAUAAGUGUACCGCCUGGGGAGUAUGCCCGCAAG